rnacentral:rRNA from 1 species
UACAGGGGGGGCAAGCGUUGUUCGGAAUUACUGGGCGUAAAGGGUUCGUAGGUGGCUUACUAAGUCAGACGUGAAAUCCCUCAGCUUAACUGGGGAACUGCGUCUGAUACCGGAAAACUUGAGUGCAGGAGAGGAACGCGGAAUUCCAGGUGUAGCGGUGAAAUGCGUAGAUAUCUGGAGGAACACCGGUGGCGAAGGCGGCGUUCUGGACUGUAACUGACACUGAUGAACGAAAGCCAGGGGAGCAAACGGG